AAGUAGACAAACUCUUCACUCAUCCUAAUGCAAUCAGGACAACAGAUUGCCAGUCAUUAAUUGAGAGCUGUGAGUGUCAUCUUCCAACAGGCUAAUGAAACACAUCCACCCAAUGUCAACUAUUCUCUAUUAUAGACUUUCUCCAGUGCCAAAUUUACGUAUAAGCUAAACAAGCUAUAGCUUAGGGCCUCACUCUCUUGGGGGCUCCCAAAAAAUUGAAGGGGAAAAAAACUAUACAUUUCUAAAAUAUAAAGUAAAAAACAAAUAAAAUAAAACCUACAUACAGCAACAGUGUUUUGUGUUGUGUAGGCUCCUAUUUGAUAUGUGCACAUGGCUUUAGAUACCUAUUAGGUCCAUAAAUUACUAAAUAGCAUAUAUUCAACACAAAAAACAGCGACAAUUUGUUGUUGACAAAGGACAGCUGGACAUAUAAAGGGCCCCAUUACCUUCAGUAACUUAGGGCCUCCUCAAACCUAAAUCCAGCCCUGACCUUCUCUGUAAUACGCAGAGAAGGUCACCUGUCCUCUUUGUUCACCCAGAAAUUCCCAUUCAGUUGCCAGACUGAUUUUGUUUUCUAGGACUUUAAAUGGAAAUCUGAUAUUUCUGCUUUUGCACCCUGUCUUUGCCCAGUCCUGCCCAGUAAAGUUUCUCAACGGUCUCAGAAUUUCAGUUUCACCCAUGAGUUUCGAUUAUAUCCUGGCAUUGAGAAUCUCUUCUGCUGCUCUCUUUGAAAUGCUUCUCGUCAGACUAUGAUCAGUAUCCACCUUCGCUUUUUCACUUUCUUCUCUCCCUCUUGAUCAGAUCUCGCCUUCCUCUUCUUCUGGGACAGCCUUCGACAACAGACUUGAAAUCUACCUUUUAUUUUACUUUUAUCAAUAAAAUCCUUUUCUCUGAAAAGCUCUCAUCUCGCCUCUUUCCUCUUGGUAUGUUGAGUGCUCCCCACUACUAAGACUCCUACACCAAAGCUGACCCAUGCUUUGUUGCUGCUUAUUUGGACAAACUUGCUCGUUUCUGUGCCAUCUCUAUGAGAUUGACAGGAUCCUGUCCUCUGGCAGAACAGAGUGAUGGGUAUAGCAAUUACCCUGCAGUCCUUUGUAUUCUGGAAGGAUAUACUCACUGAACAUCAAAGCAGGUUUCAGACACAUAUAGAGCUAUAUGUUGUCUACGCUCU